GUGGGGAAUAUUGGACAAUGGGCGAAAGCCUGAUCCAGCCAUGCCGCGUGAGUGAUGAAGGCCUUAGGGUUGUAAAGCUCUUUCAGUAGGGAAGAUAAUGACGGUACCUACAGAAGAAGCCCCGGCUAACUUCGUGCCAGCAGCCGCGGUAAUACGAAGGGGGCUAGCGUUGUUCGGAUUUACUGGGCGUAAAGCGCACGUAGGCGGAUUGGUCAGUUAGAGGUGAAAUCCUGGAGCUCAACUCCAGAACUGCCUUUAAUACUGGCAGUCUAGAGUCCAGAAGAGGUGAGUGGAACUCCUAGUGUAGAGGUGGAAUUCGUAGAUAUUAGGAAGAACACCAGUGGCGAAGGCGGCUCACUGGUCUGGUACUGACGCUGAGGUGCGAAAGCGUGGGGAGCAAACAGGAUUAGAAACCCUUGUAGUCC
rnacentral:rRNA from 1 species